GCUUGGACCGGUUCUAAAAAAGAUAAGUUUGGAAGCUAUCGAUAAAUGUCUUGAGCAGACAAGCUAGGUAUGUCAUUUGGUGGGAGAAUCUGUUACAUAGGGGCCAUCAAGGGACAUAAUAUCGUAUAGGUGGAUUAUAUAUGUAGUUAGAUUGGUCGUGGCGCCAAACCACUUUUUGUGAUACUCAGUGCAUGGCCUUGACCCGGCUGAUCACCGAGAAACCAGUUGUGGGCAAUUGUGGCGUUAAAAGUAAAAGCUUUCACCAAUAAGCGAGCUUGAUUUACAAAUGGGGAACCAUCAAGGUCGUCGUCGUACUGCGCUCUAGUGCAAGCUCACUCAGGUGAG
rnacentral:lncRNA from 1 species